AACGAACGCUGGCGGCAGGCUUAACACAUGCAAGUCGAACGCCCCGCAAGGGGAGUGGCAGACGGGUGAGUAACGCGUGGGAACAUACCCUUUUCUACGGAAUAGCUCUGGGAAACUGGAAUUAAUACCGUAUACGCCCUACGGGGGAAAGAUUUAUCGGGGAAGGAUUGGCUCGCGUUGGAUUAGCUAGUUGGUGGGGUAAAGGCCUACCAAGGCGACGAUCCAUAGCUGGUCUGAGAGGAUGAUCAGCCACAUUGGGACUGAGACACGGCCCAAACUCCUACGGGAGGCAGCAGUGGGGAAUAUUGGACAAUGGGCGCAAGCCUGAUCCAGCCAUGCCGCGUGAGUGAUGAAGGCCUUAGGGUUGUAAAGCUCUUUCACCGAUGAAGAUAAUGACGGUAGUCGGAGAAGAAGCCCCGGCUAACUUCGUG
rnacentral:rRNA from 1 species